AAGGAAGCUGCCUCCGGGAUGACGCGACCCGCUGGCAUUAGCAGGCGAGAGAGAACUCAGGAUGUCUGCCAGUGACAUCCAAGAAUUCUGGAAAGCAGCCUCCAGAGGAAGGUCUCAUUGUCUGGGCUUUGGCCCUGGACCAAAUGAAAGGGGCUGCCCUGCCUCGCUCUGACUGGAUAUGCUGCAAGAAGGAAACCAGAAAGACACUGCAGUGGGCAUAUCCUGCUCUUGCCUCCCCCUCUUGAUCCCAGAGGGGUCCAGCCCAUAAAACUGGAACAAUUAUUCUGCGCAGACAAGAGCAAGCCCUAUGCACCACGGAGACCAGCUUGCAUUGCGGGAAAUGCAGAGUGAUGCAUGGGCCGCAGAGAUAGCGGAUUCACUGCUAAAUGGACCAACCCCAGGAAUAGGCCAGAGUCUCCUGAACACACUUAGACGAAUGAUCCUUACUCUUUGAACCACCCCACAGAAGAAGUCAAUGGGACUCCUCAAGUAGAUAAGGAUUCCAGGGUGGAGCGUGUCCACAGGACCUGCAAAGCAACUUUGUCCAUCUGCUUGUCCGAUUUCAACACAGCUGGGUUCUACAUCCUGCUGAGAUGGGCAGAAGUUCCAUGUGACGACCCUACCCCGGGAUUAUGGUGUCUCAUGCAGGAGGCGAGAACUACAAAAACCCUGUACAACCGGCAGCUUUAUAACAACUGAAAAAGCAGCACUAGGAAGGGAAGUCAUUCUGAGAUAUCUAAAGAAGGGGUCCAUGCCCUGCAAAGGGAUUGCGAUUGUGAAAUCUCCCAUCGUUGGAGGUUUUUAAGAGCAGGUUAGACAAACACCUGUCAGGGAUGGUCUAGAUAAUACUUAGUCCUGCCGUGAGUGCAGGGGACUGGACUACAGCAGUGGUCUCCAAAGUGGGCUGCACGCAAGAGGAUCCUUUGGGGUGCACAGCAGGAGGAGCGCCGCCGGAGCAGCGCCGCUUUUUAUUUUUCCCCCGUUCCGCAGUUCGGCCAGGAGUCCAAGCGCACUUUUUUUUUAAUUUUUAUUUUGCUUCGACUAUUCGGCCGGGAGCAGAGGGUGUGUGCUUAAAAGUUUUUUACUGAUUGGAUGCAUGAUCAAAAAGUUUGGAGACCACUGGACUAAAGGACCUCUUGAGGUCCCUUUCAGUCCGAUGAUUUCAACAGCAAGACCAGUUUAUGUAUCUGAUUUUUGGAAACCCUGGUUGCGUAAGCGUAUCGCAAAAGUGGCACCAACCCAAAUCCAAGCACAGUGUAGACUCUACACCCAGCACCCCCAGGCUGCAACAUUAGCAACGUGAAAUCAAUCAAAGCAAAGCUGCACUUUGGAAUUUUUUUCAUCUGGAAGAGGAAAAUCAAGGUGUCUCCACACUGUGCGUAGAACAAAGGCACUGAAGGUAAACGUAUGCUUUAUAACUGUGUCGCUUGGGACCAGCUGCAGUUGUCUAGCUCCUGAAUUCAGGACAGCUGUGCCAGGGCUAAGAUAGGUAGUUGUCUGCUAGCCUUUACAUCAGGGGUAGGCCACCUACCAAAGACACAUCUAGUCAAGUAUCUCUCUCUGUUAGCAGCCCAUACCAAAUCCUUCCAAGGAAGGUGCAAGAAACACCAGUAAGGACAAAUGAUUAUUCCUGGCUUGUAUGCCAAUCAAGAUUGGAAAAGACCAGACCUCUGGGGAAAGUUUCCUGGAAUGAAACCUGGUCUACACAGAAAUUGCACCCUUUUAACUACAUCAGGUUCCAAAUAGAUGUAGUAAAAUUAGUUCAACCUGCUUGUGUGGAUACUACUAAAUGGGUUUAAGAUGCCCCAGGAUCAAUUAGCUCAAACUGGAGCCACUUAAUCGUUGUGCUUUUAGCUUAAGAUAAAAAUCAGCAUCUGUCCCUCAAGAGUAUCCACACUGUUCUGCAUCGAAUCAGAAAUUGGAUUUAGAUCAAUCAGUACAAUGUGCGUAUGCAGACAUGCCUGAGCACAGGACAGUUAAAGUGACUGGUAAUGAGAUAUACAGCCUUUCACUCCUACCUUGCCUGUUCAAAUGUAGCCACGGUUUGCACUGACCUCAGGUUGUCACCACCUGAUGGGGGGGCUAAAGUGGCUUUCUCCAAUAUGAUU